GCGACCAAGCCCUGUGUUUCUUUUCUCGUUCCCUCGCCGUUCGGCGCCGGGAAGGAGAAGGGUCUUCGCUUCGAUCGGUGGCCAUCGGAGGAGGAGGAGGAGGAGAUGAAGCUGUCGUCGAGGUGCCCGCGGAUGGUCGUUCCGCCAUCAUCCGCCACGUCUGCUCCUUUCCGAGGACGCCGCCGACCACGCACUAAAAAGCCAGGGGUUGGAACUUUGGAGCUUAUCAAGAGAAAUACUGCAUCUGUUUUUGUUAAAAUUUGCAUAAAUGGAUGUGAUGCAAAGCUUAUCAAGAGAAAUUCUGCAUCUUUUGGUGUUAAAAUGGACCUUGAAGGAAUUCAUGCCUGCUAAUGUGCAUCAGACUGUUGGAGUAUCACCUAGUUUGCUCAUGGUAAUGUCAACAUACUCUUCAUGCUCCUUGGCUACUAUUUGGCAUUUCAGAAUCAGACGGUCUUAUAUGAGAUAAUGUUGCUGGCCCAGUUUAAGCUAUGAUGUUGGCGCAAACUGGAACUCCUCUCAAUCAAGUAAAAUUAUUGUGGUAGUGUCUUUUUCAGGUAAUGAGAAUCCCACAUGGGCCUUUUGAAUAUAUUCCUUAAUUCCUAGGAAAUGUCAUUUUUCUUUUCUUAGUUAGUUUUUACCUGCUCUUGCAAUUUUGUCACUGAAGGAAAUAUUGAGUAGUCGAUGCUGUCCGCGGUUGCAUGUCUAGCCUGGUAUUAUUUUCAAACUUACAUGUACUUGUGGUCCUUUACAUUGCGGGCUGGCAUCUUCUGUCGUCUACAAUCUUAAAACAGUACUGAAAAUAGAAAACAUUUACAAUGUGGUUUCAGAUAUGGUCCCAUAAGCUUGUUCAUCAUAUCAUUGCCGCUAAGAGAUAUGGAAUUUAAGUUUAGGUUCACGUGAUAAUUUCCUGAUUUGAUUUCAGAUUAUGUUUUACCAAAGGAAGUCUAUCGAAGCUGCUUUGGACGCUUGCAGAUAUUAGACGCAUUGGCAAGGAGAAAGGGCAACCAUUGCUCAACUCGAGGUAAGGGUUCUGAUCGCCAUUUAUCAUGGAUAUUCGCAUGCUCUUUUUCUGGCCCAUUUAAAUUGGCAAUCUAACCGGUUUAACUGGCUUAGUUUGUAUAUUAAUUGGGGCCUCAUAAUUGCAUGAACAACUUAAGGUGGCCAAAUAGAAGUGUGCUGGCUCAAUCAUGCGAUCUAUAGCUGAAUCAACAGACCGUUGACCUAGUGUUAAGUUUUUCCUUGGAGUUCGUAGCGUCAGAUAGUUGUCGAGGUAGUGCUCGGGUAAAAGACUUGCUAUUUGUUUAGAUGGGUUUGCCUCCUAUUUCUUCACAUGCACUAGGUACUGAUAUGCACAACCACAUUCGCAUUUGCCUGGUCCAUCCAUCUUUUAUUACGCGGUACAACAUCUAGUUAACGCCGGCGUGACCAGUGAAUAAUUAGGCUUUCCAAUGCGGGGGCUUAUUGAGCACCAAAUAUUCGAGGACCACUUCUCUCCAAAGUCUUUUACAGAUUGCAAUCUCCAGAUUAUACGAUUAGGUACUGCUUUUGCUUUACAUCACAACUCACAGGUGAGCACAAAGCACCAACGACAGAUGGAAACACUUUGAGAUCGUCAUCAAGCCUUUCGUUUACGCCAUCCCCAGGGGCCAGCCUUUCAUCAUCAUUUGCCACCACAGAGUGCUUUCAGAUCCAAUCUGUUGACAGCCAGGUAAAAGUACUGCAGAGAUCCUCUUCUCCCUUCCACAACCAAGAACUUCUCCCUCGGUCCGCCGUACCACUUUCUUCUCAAACCUGAGUGCUCGACAACAUGGUGGCAACAUACCCCUCUUUGACUUCAUCAGCACAGUAAGAAGUUGGUCCCCUCCUUGGGCCACUGCUUCAUUAUUAGUCCAAAGGACUGUCCUUCCCCUUCUUUUAUCAUCAACUUCAUACAGAGACUCUUUCAAAUUAAACUGGUCCCAUGCUAAAAAGAAGGCAAUGAGAUCUCCUCUUAGAUCUUGAGUCCUUGUCUGUGGUGCUGGUGGAUUCUUUGCUAGAUUGCAUGCUGGUGUGGGUCAAGUUCUAAGAGGGAGCACGGUGGGGGACGAUCACUUGGUGGCAAAGGCGUGGUAGAUGUAGUGUUAGCAGUUCAGAGUGGGUGGCGGUGGUGGUGGUGGUGACCUCAACAAAGACUUGGAGAGUUAGAGUGGAUCUUUCGGCUACUAGGAUCCAAUAAUGGAACCACUUUUUUAAACGAGUGCGUGGGUGAUGUUUCUUGUCUGGUUGCGUUUAACACAUGUAUUUGCAAUUUUCCACCAUGCAUGCUAGAUUUAUGCUGGUUGAGACCAAACUAGGGAAAGAUAUGGUUGCUAUUGUAAAACCUAAAUCGUUAUCAUCUUCACUAGUGUAGUAACCAGGUCUACACAACCCCACUGGGCAUAUUUCCACGUGUGUUACGUGGUCUUUGAUGGAAAAGUCAAAAGGAUCAGUGACCGGCGUAUAGCCUUUAGGACGAAAAUUUUGUGGCAUAUGAUGUAUGGUGAAGGAUACAUCGGCGAGGGAUUUGAGGCCUUAAUGUGGCGCGGUGUCUUGAGCAUGUCGAUGGGCGCGAGCAAGGAUGCGUCGGUCUCACUCCGAGACCCUUGCCGUGGUCCAACCCAUCGACGCAUGUCUGCCAUUGUAUCCGAUCCUGAUUUGAGCACAAUUUUUGGCUUAUGGUCUAUAAUCUGACACGAAUUCAUUUUUUGUGUCACUGAUCAACAUCAUCCCAGAUGUUGCUACGGUCAAAAUAGGGCUGUAGGAGUGUCGGAAGCUGAUGAUAUAGCCUCAUUGUGUGUAGAGGAAUCAGUUUUUGUAAUCCUCGAGCUAUCUUCAUGCUGUCA